AUAUUGGUCAAUGGAGGCAACUCUGAACCAGCCAUGCCGCGUGAAGGACGAAGGCGUUCUGCGUUGUAAACUUCUUUUAUAAGGGAAGAAACCCAUGAUUUCUAUUAUGGCCGACGGUACCUUAUGAAUAAGCACCGGCUAACUCCGUUCCAGCAGCCGCGGUAAUACGGAGGGUGCAAGCGUUAUCCGGAUUUACUGGGUUUAAAGGGUGUGUAGGCGGGCUUGUAAGUCAGGGGUGAAAUCCUACAGCUUAACUGUAGAACUGCCUUUGAUACUAUAAGUCUUGAAUAUUGUUGAGGUGGGCGGAAUACAUCAUGUAGCGGUGAAAUGCUUAGAUAUGAUGUAGAACACCGAUUGCGAAGGCAGCUCACUAAGCAAAUAUUGACGCUGAGGCACGAAAGCGUGGGGAUCAAACAGG
rnacentral:rRNA from 1 species